rnacentral:rRNA from 1 species
UACGAAGGGGCUAGCGUUGCUCGGAAUUACUGGGCGUAAAGCGCACGUAGGCGGGUCGUUAAGUCGGGGGUGAAAUCCUGGAGCUCAACUCCAGAACUGCCUUCGAAACUGACGAUCUUGAGUUCGGGAGAGGUGAGUGGAACUGCGAGUGUAGAGGUGAAAUUCGUAGAUAUUCGCAAGAACACCAGUGGCGAAGGCGGCUCUCUGGGCAGAUACGUGACGCUGAGACGCGAAAAGCGUGGGUAGCAAACGAGG